GCACCUGGUCCCCCUUGGUGCCCUAUGCAAACUCGCCCCCCACCGCCAGCUGUUCCGCUAGAUGGAGUGUCAGUGCGCCACGUUACAGAAGAGAGGGAAGAGAAUCUUCCUGGGAUGAGGAAGGGGCGACUAAGCCCGAAAUUAAAAAACUGGAGUACGCUAAUGGGACUGUAGAAGUGGCUCCGCAGGAGCUGACGGAUCAUAAAACACUGACCUCUGUUGGUGGAGCACACGGAGCUUAUUAUACACUGGGUAAGUUAGUGAACGUGGCUGGCA